GACUUGACUUAUCCAAGUCAGAAGGAAGUACACAAUUAAAUAUGCUGGUGAAAAAUGAAGUAUACUGCAUAUAAGCCUCAAUCUUAUCCAACAUAGAAGAAUUUUGAGCUGAAAUAUGGCAUUCUCGAGGAUUAUCAUCUUUAUGUUCGACAGCCAUUCUAUAAGUCAGUGUGUAUACUUGACUCCAUAGCCUUGCCCCCAUAUUAAUUUCAUGAUCUGCUUUAAUUUUCUGUUGAAGAAUUGCCUGAUACAAUGUCAAAUUCCGAUCCAACUCUUGUCCUUCUAGGUAAAAUGCCAGUUUUGAUGAAGCAUCUUCAUUGCUAGGGGAUGGAGGACACUGACUUUUUCUACUGAUGUCUGCCCCAGAAGGAUAUUGUACUAACUUCUCUAUGGAGGCAAUACGAGAAUCAUUUGAAGAUGUAAUCGUGCCAGGAUUUAUCUGUCGUAAAUUUUCUGCUUGUUCCAGUGGUGUCUGCAAUAGGUUAGCCUCAUCUUCCUGCAUCUCAAUCAAAUCACUAGACAUGCUGUCAGGAUCCAUGGGACCUGAACUUUCACCUUGUCCUGGGUUCACGUUUGAUGUAAUUUGAAAUUUUACACUUUCCAUUGGGGCCUGAGAAGCUGUUUCACUUUCUUUGGUUCUUACUAUUCUAACUUUAGGCAACAAAAAUCCUUCAAUAGAAUCCAAAGAAGAGAAAGGGUCAACAGUGACAACAUCAUCAGAGUAGUCACAAAGAC
rnacentral:misc_RNA from 1 species